rnacentral:lncRNA from 1 species
CGUCGGAAUCAAACAUGAAAGGUGUCGGAAGUUCACCCUAAACACCACGAUUGAAGAAGCAACAACAAACCAGAAAAAACGGAAAGCAUCUCUGAUUCCACCAACAAAUCGAAAAAAUCCAGAAUCACCACCAACAAAUCGAAAAAUCCAGAAUCACCACCGAUAAUUCAAUAAAGCUGAACUGGAAGAACCGAGAAGAGAAAGGAUAUAUCCGAAAAGGCGAACCAUACUCUGAUACCAUGUAAACAUGGAGAAUCGGAGAUGGAGAAGAGAGAAAAAAUUCAUCUCUUUCUGAAUUGAUAAAA